rnacentral:rRNA from 1 species
AUUGAACGCUGGCGGCAUGCUUUACACAUGCAAGUCGAACGGCAGCACGGGUGCUUGCACCUGGUGGCGAGUGGCGAACGAGUGAGUAAUGCAUCGGAACGUAUCCAAGAGUGGGGGAUAACGCAUCGAAAGGUGUGCUAAUACCGCAUACGCCCUGAGGGGGAAAGUGGGGGACCGUAAGGCCUCACGCUGAUGGAGCGGCCGAUGUCAGAUUAGCUAGUUGGUGAGGUAAAGGCUCACCAAGGCGACGAUCUGUAGCUGGUCUGAGAGGAUGAUCAGCCACACUGGGACUGAGACACGGCCCAGACUCCUACGGGAGGCAGCAGUGGGGAAUUUUGGACAAUGGGGGCAACCCUGAUCCAGCCAUGCCGCGUGAGUGAAGAGGGCCUUCGGGUUGUAAAGCUCUUUCGCAAGGGAAGAAAACUUAGUUCUUAAUACGAGCUGAGGAUGACGGUACCUUGAUAAGAAGCACCGGCUAACUACGUGCCAGCCGCCGCCGUAAUAC